GUUCGGAGAUUUGUGGAGUUCACCACGGGUAGGUAAUAAGCCCCCUCAUUAUUAGAUGGGGAUAAUCUCACUAUAUGCCCGAAACUCCUAAAGCCCAAUUUACGGAAACCGUGAUAAUAAUUGGGAUAAUACAAUGGACAAUGGGCAGGAAACAGAAAAUUUAUUCUGGCUCCUCAGAGACUACAUGUGAAACAUUCAUUUUAAUGAAUGAAGAUAUAGUCCCAUCCAUGACGAGAUUCAUGG
rnacentral:ncRNA from 1 species